AUGGGACAGCCCAUCGGGAUGCGAGUGGCUUCAGCAAAGGCUUCUCCUCCCCCGGCGCCCCAGCAUCUUUCCCGGGUGGCGAGGAUGUUAAUGGAAAAAGGGAUCUCGGAGUCCCGGCCAGCCUCUGUGGAUGGCUUCUCGUGCGGCAACCUCAGUCCGGGCGGGCCGCGCGUCGCCAGGGCGGGGACGCGGCCGAGAGCGCCCCCGCGGCCCGCGGCUGCGGGCGCCGCGGCGGGAACAAAGGCAGCACGUGUCUGGGCGGGGCGGCGGGCGGGUUCGGCCCUCGGCCCCGCCCCCGGCGCUCCCCCUCCCACCCCCGGCCCGGCCCCGAGCUCGGCUGCGCGGGGCGCCCGGGACUCUCACGCGGCCGGGCUGCUGCUGGCGCGGCGGCGCAGAGCGGGCGGCGAGCGGUGCGGGAGGGGCGGCCCCAGGGGCGGGGCGGGGCUGGCGCCGCGAGUACCCGCCGCCACCGCCCGAGUCCGGGUCCUCCAAGGGGCGCGGCGAGUAGAGGCGCUCGGGAUCGCGGCCGCGUCCCUGUCAGCACCGCGCCCGGCUGUCGCUGAGGAGCGCGGCGGCCCCGGGCUCCCCGGCCAGAGCAGGCCAGCCCGGCGCGUGGGCCGCGCGCGCGCGCGCCCCCGACAAGGAGGCCGCGGAGGAGCGCGCCGGGGCGGGAACGGGAGCGCGGCGGCGGCGGCGGCGGCGAAGGCGGCCGGCGGGGGGCGGGGCCGCGGCGUCUGCAGAACCUUGGACAGAAGCUCCGGAGCCGCCGCCGCCGCCGCCGCCGAGCGCGAGCCCCGCCGAGCCGCGCCGAGCGCGGGGGACCGCGGGCCCGAGCCGCGGCGCGCAUUGCGGAGGGAGGGCGCGGAGCGCAGGAGCCGCCGCCUGCCGGGUAAGCCUGCGCCCCGCGGCCGCCCGCUGCCCCCGAGGAGCCGGGGCCGGGGUCGGGGUCGAGGCCGCGCGCGGUGUCGAGGCGGGGGUCCCCGGGCGCCUCCCGCCGGCGCACGGGCCCCUCCCGCCGCCGUCCGGACCGCAGCGGCCGCGGCAGGCGGGCGGGGGGUGCUGCAGUGGAGGCGGCCGGGCUGCGGCGCGGGGGCGCAGGGGCGCGGGGCCGGGGCCAAGUCCGCGGGGGCCGCCUGGGCCAGGGUGGAGGAGCGCGGCGCCGAGCCCCGCCUGGUGCUGAGAACCAUCUUGUUUUCCACGCAGAUCCGAAGGGGCAGCACGCGCCCCCGGGAGCGCCCCCGCCUCCUGCCCGGGGCCGCCGCGGGCUCGCUGAGCUGUCUUCUCCCUCCGGCCGGCAGGCUGGGCGCACAGGGGCGCGGGCCC
rnacentral:lncRNA from 1 species